AACGAACGCUGGCGGCAGGCCUAAAACAUGCAAGUCGAACGGGUGUAGCAAUACAUCAGUGGCGCACGGGUGAGUAACGCGUGGGAACGUGCCCUUCAGUACGGGACAACGUCGGGAAACUGACGCUAAUACCGUAUAAUGACUCCGGUCCAAAGAUUUAUCGCUGAAGGAGCGGCCCGCGUCUGAUUAGCUAGUUGGUGAGGUAAGGCUCACCAAGGCGACGAUCUGUAGCGGGUCUGAGAGGAUGAUCCGCCACACUGGAACUGAGACACGGUCCAGACUCCUACGGGAGGCAGCAGUGGGGAAUUUGGACAAUGGGCGCAAGCCUGAUCCAGCCAUGCCGCGUGAGUGAAGAAGGCCUCGGUGUAAG
rnacentral:rRNA from 1 species